UACGGGGGGUGCAAGCGUUGUUCGGAUUUAUUGGGCGUAAAGCGCGUGUAGGCGGUUUGUUAAGUCUGUUGUGAAAGCCCUGGGCUCAACCCGGGAAGUGCACUGGAUACUGGCAAACUUGAAUACGGGAGAGGAGAGUGGAAUUCCUGGUGUAGGAGUGAAAUCCGUAGAUAUCAGGAGGAACACCGGUGGCGAAGGCGGCUCUCUGGACCGAUAUUGACGCUGAGACGCGAAAGCGUGGGUAGCAAACAGG
rnacentral:rRNA from 1 species